GAUGAACGCUAGCGGCAGGCUUAAUACAUGCAAGUCGAGGGACAGCACAGGUAGCAAUACUGGGUGGUAACCGGCAAACGGGUGCGGAACACGUACACAACCUUCCUUUAAGUGGGGGAUAGCCCAGAGAAAUUUGGAUUAAUACCCCGUAAUAUAGUUGAAUGGCAUCAUUUGAUUAUUAUAGCUACGGCGCUUAAUGAUGGGUGUGCGGCUGAUUAGAUAGUUGGCGGGGUAACGGCCCACCAAGUCUACGAUCAGUAGCUGAUGUGAGAGCAUGAUCAGCCACACGGGCACUGAGACACGGGCCCGACUCCUACGGGAGGCAGCAUUAAGUAAUAUUGGUCAAUGGACGCAAGUCUGAACCAGCCAUGCCGCGUGAAGGAUUAAGGUCCUCUGGAUUGUAAACUUCUUUUAUUUGGGACGAAAAAGGGCCUUUCUAGGUCAACUGACGGUACCAGAUGAAUAAGCACCGGCUAACUCCGUGCCAGCCGCCGCGGUAAUAC
rnacentral:rRNA from 1 species